rnacentral:rRNA from 1 species
GAUGAACGCUAGCUACAGGCUUAACACAUGCAAGUCGAGGGACCGGCGCACGGGUGAGUAACGCGUAUCCCACCUGACCAUAAGUAGGGUAUAACCCGCAGAAAUGCGGACUUAUCCCCUAUGCUUAUGGAUGGGGAUGCGUCCGAUUAGCUAGUGUGUGAGGUAACGGCCCACCAAGGCUUCGAUCGGUAGGGGUUCUGAGAGGAAGGACCCCCAUAAAGGAACGGAGACACGGUCCUAACUCCUACGGGAGGCAGCAGUGAGGAAGAUGGGGAAAUGGGCGAGAGCCUGAAACAGCCAGGUAGCUUGCAGGAAGACGGCCUAUGGGUUGUAAACUGCUUUGAUGCGGGGAUAGGUACCGAAUGAAUAAGGACCGGCUAAUUCCGUGCCAGCAGCCGCGGUAAUAC